rnacentral:lncRNA from 1 species
AUGUGUAACAUUCAAGGUUUUAUUCAGUAUUUACAUACAGUACACAAGUCAGAAACAAUGGUCAAGAAACCUUCAAAUAAGGUCAGUUGGAUAUAAAAUAAAAUCUGCAGUCAAAACAACAGAUUUUCCAUUAAAAAUCACAAACAAGUGUUUUUUUCUUUCUAAGCAUAUUUUUUAUGUCCACGUAGGUGUUGGAGAUAUACAGAGCUAUGAUGAAACAAUCACAUGUUCUUUUACAGCUAAUACAUUUCCCUUUCUGCUCCUUAAGAAAACAUAAACCUGACGUUCAGUCAUUUUAGUACCCUGUGGUUGCAACCGAGCCAAAUAUAGACAUUACCUCGUCCUCAACCCACUCUCGUACCCGAACACGUUCUUGAUAUUAUUUUUCAUGACGUUACCGUAGCAACCCUCCUAUAAGGUAGCCUCGUUUCAUUUGACAGUGCAGUGGUGGUGAUGAUCAAGAAUCAUAAGCUUUAUGUAAAUGGUUUACUCUAACUUGUAUGCUACUUUAUGACUCAUAGGGCCACUGUGUCAGGUGAGGGGACAGGUAGUCGUUUUCCCUAACUAAAGCUUCAUAGGGCCACUGUGUCAGGUGAGGGGACAGGUAGUCGUUUUCCCUAACUAAAGCUUCAUAGGGCCACUGUGUCAGGUGAGGGGACAGGUAGUCGUUUUCCCUAACUAAAGCUUCAUAGGGCCACUGUGUCAGGUGAGGGGACAGGUAGUCGUUUUCCCCACACUAAAGCUUCAUAGGGGCCACUGUGUCAGGUGAGGGGACAGGUAGUCGUUUUCCCCACACUAAAGCUUCAUAGGGCCACUGUGUCAGGUGAGGGGACAGGUAGUUGUUUUCCCCACACUAAAGCUUC